rnacentral:rRNA from 1 species
UACGUAGGGUGCAAGCGUUAAUCGGAAUUAUUGGGCGUAAAGCGCGCGCAGGCGGUUUCUUAAGUCUGAUGUGAAAGCCCACGGCUCAACCGUGGAGGGUCAUUGGAAACUGGGAAACUUGAGUGCAGAAGAGAAAAGCGGAAUUCCACGUGUAGCGGUGAAAUGCGUAGAGAUGUGGAGGAACACCAGUGGCGAAGGCGGCUUUUUGGUCUGUAACUGACGCUGAGGCGCGAAAGCGUGGGGAGCAAACAGG